ACUGGAACUGAGACACGGUCCAGACUCCUACGGGAGGCAGCAGUAAGGAAUCUUCCACAAUGGGCGAAAGCCUGAUGGAGCAACGCCGCGUGCAGGAUGAAGGCCCUCGGGUCGUAAACUGCUUUUAUGAGUGAAGAAUAUGACGGUAACUCAUGAAUAAGCACCGGCUAACUACGUGCCAGCAGCCGCGGUCAUACGUAGGGUGCAAGCAUUAUCCGGAGUGACUGGGCGUAAAGAGUUGCGUAGGUGGUUAGUAAAGUGAAUAGUGAAACCUGGUGGCUCAACCAUACAGACUAUUAUUCAAACUCACUAACUCGAGAGUGGUAGAGGUAACUGGAAUUUCUUGUGUAGGAGUGAAAUCCGUAGAUAUAAGAAGGAACACCAAUGGCGUAGGCAGGUUACUGGACCAUUUCUGACACUAAGGCACGAAAGCGUGGGGAGCGAACCGGAUUAGAUACCCGGGUAGUCCACGCCGUAAACGAUGGAUACUAGCUGUUGGAGGUAUCGACCCCUUCAGUAGCGAGGCUAACGCGUUAAGUAUCCCGCCUGUGGAGUACGGUCGCAAGACUAAAACAUAAAGGAAUUGACGGGGAUCAGCACAAGCGGUGGAUUAUGUUCUUUAAUUCGAUGAUAACCGAUGAACCUUACCAGGGUUUGACAUCCAGGGAAGCACUACGAAAGUAGCGUGUGCCUUUUGGAACCCUGUGACAGGUGUUGCAUGGCCGUCGUCAGCUCGUGUCGUGAGAUGUUUGGUUAAGUCCAUCAACGAGCGCAACCCUUGUGAAUAGUUGUAUUUUUCUAUUCAGACUGCUCUAGUAAUAGGGAGGAAGGAGGGGAUGAUGUCAGGUCAGUAUUACCCUUACACCCUGGGCUAGAAACAUAAUACAAUGGCCGGUACAAUGCGCAGCGAAACAGCAAUGUGGAGCAAAUCGCAUCAAAGCCGGUCCCAGUUCGGAU
rnacentral:rRNA from 1 species